CCAAAACAAAACGGAACCCAAAUUUAUUGUAUCUCCUCGCACUCUGAACAGCUCGACAAAACGAAACCCUUAUUUCUUCUCUCUCCUCACUCUGAUCAGCCAAAACAACAUGAGACCUUAGUUCGAUUCACUCUCGUCGAUUUAGUCCGGCCAUCUCGUUGAUUUCGUGCGGCUCACCAAACCCAACUGCAGUGCAGAUCUCCUAAGAAAAAUAAAGUAAGAAUCAUUCAUAAAUAGUAUGAAGCUUGCAACAUUCAUUUAGAUAUGUGGACAUUGUUGCUAUUUUAUUGUUUUUUUAAUCUAUAGUGAGUGAAAUUAUUUAAAGUCCUUACAAUUUGCAUAAUAUGUUUCUGUUUUACUGUUUUUAAGAAAAGAAUAAAUUGAAAGUCAUGUUUCUAAAUUAAGUUAUAACAAUGUUGAUACUUGAAUUGUCUACUGUUGAGAAAAUUUGAAGUGGGUUUCUGCAUUUUGUUGCUGUUGGUGUUGAAUUAUGCUUAAAUUUUUAGAUUUUUUUUGUUUUGGUUUUCAAUAAUUGCUUUUAGGUGUUUGAACUAGUUCAAUUCAUGAAAGUUUUGUUGAGUACUAGAGAUUUUCCUUUAUUUUGAGCUGACAAUAGUUUGAAUUCAAGAAUUUUCCUUUGUUUUGAGUUGACAAUAGUUUCAGUUUUAGGGAUUUUCCUUUGUAAACUUUAUAAUUUGUUUAGUGGAGGAUGUGCAUACUUACUGGAGGUGGGUGAUGUAAGGCAGGUUUAACAUUCUAAGGUGUGUUUAUGGAUGUUUUUUUGAGUAUGAAGUAUUUAUUUGUUUUCAAAUAUUUACAGGGGUUAGGAGGUUGAGGAAAUAACCUGGUAUAUGUAUUGGGGUUUAAAUAUUUACUGUAAAUUAUAACUAUUGAAUAGAAAUUUAAUAGUAGCUAUAUAUGUUGAAUGUAGAAAGCAGGGAAAAAUAGAGCUCAUCAAAUAGGAAUUCGAGGUUGGAGCAGGAAGUUUUAGAAAGAUUCAAGUAUUUUGGAAGAUGAUCCUAAAAGAUUAUUUUAGUAGAUAAUAUCAAAUGAAAAUUUAUUUAUCCUAUGUUCUACUUGAUCCAAAAACAUAUAUUUGUGGACAUGGGCUAAACAUGGGCUAAGAGAUGAAAGUUGAGUUUUUGAAAGGAGAAGAGAAAUUUAUUGUUGCUAUUGACAAAAAACAAUCAUGUUAAAUGUAAUUUAUUUCUGCUUGCUACAUUAUUUAACAUCCAUAAUGUUAAAUGUACUUUAUUUCUGCUUGCUACAUUAUUUCUAUUGAGUGUGGACCUAAUCAUUCUUUUAUAUUUAUUCUCAAGGAACUGUUGUUUAUUAUGGAUGCCAUGAACCAUGAAAUAGAUAGUUUUGGGGAUAAUGCAGAAAUGAAUUUAGACUACAUUUACAAUUUUGAAAUAGAGAUGGAGAGGGAUGACUUGAGUGAAGAGGGGUUGGAUGUGAACAAUGUUAAAACUGUUGUGUACUAUCCUAAAGUAGCCGACGAGUUUAUGCCUAAGCUAGGUCAAGAAUUUCAAAUAUUAGACGACGUUUACACUUUUUACAAUACAUAUGCAGUGCAUGCUGGUUUUAGUGUGCGAAAGCAUACUCAGAAAAAAAAGGAGGGAAGCGGUGAGAUUUGUAGGAAGUCGUAUGUGUGUUAUAAGCAAGGAAAGGGCAAACUAUUAGUCAAUGUGGAUGCAAAAAGAAAACAUGGAUCUACCAAAGAAGGUUGUACUGUAAGAAUUGUAGUGGUAAAAAGAAAUGACUUGUAUGUUGUCCAUAACUGAGGAGGGCCAUUGUCACCCAUUGUCAAUCCCACAUAAGAGACAUCUUUUACGAUCGCACUGUAAUGUGUCUGCUGCCCAAAAAUGUUUGAGCCAACAACUUGGCAUGGUAAAUAUACCACAAUGCCAACAAUAUAACUUUCUUGCAGUUUAGGCGGGAGGGAUUGAAAAUAUUGGUUGCACGCAACGAGAUUUGUAUAACUUUGAAAGAGACAAUCGUAAUGAGCUGAAGGGACAAGAUGGCGAUAUGUUGAAUGAGUACUUGAAGUUAGAACAACAAAAGAAUCCUUCAUUCACUUUUACAAUUGACACAGACAAUGAAAAAAGGAUUACUCGUUGUUUUUGGGCCGAUGCAACUUCUAGACGGGCUUAUAGAUUUUACGGCGAUGUUGUCAUUUUUGAUACCACGUACAACACUAAUCGUUAUGGAAUGAUAUUUGCACCACUAAUGGGGGUUAAUAACCAUGGUCAAACUAUUGUAUUUGGUUGUGCUUUCUUAAGUGAUGAGACCAUAGAUACUUUUGUUUGGCUUUUCAAGUGUUUUUUAGAAGCAAUGCCAGGUGAUGCACCUAAGAUGAUUAUCACUGAUCAGGAUCCAGCUAUGACAAAUGCCAUUUCACAGAUCCUUCCCAAGACAUUUCAUAGGUAUUGUAGUUGGCACAUUUUGAACAAAUUUUCAGAGAAGAUUGACUCGGUAAAAUUCAGUGCUUAUUAUAAAGAGUUUUCAGAUUGCAUUUGGAAUUCAGAGACUGUAGAAAAGUUUGACUCCACUUGGGUGGAGUUGUUGGAGAAAAGUGGGUUGAAUACUAAUAAAUGGCUACAAUCAAUGUAUGACAUCCGUUGUAGAUGGGUUCCCGCACAUGUGAAUCAUGUUUUUUCAGCCGACAUGUCAAGUAGUCAACGAGCGGAGAGUUGUCAUUCGUUUUUCAAAAGAUUUGUUUCUAAAGGAAAUUCAUUAGUGGAUUUUAUGAUUCAAUUUGGUCGGGGCCUUCAACAUCAACGACAUGUAGAGUUGGAAUCAGAAAACAAAGAUUUGAUUGAGAGACCGAAAAUGAAAAUUGCCAAUCACUUAAGUCAAAUGGUUGACAUUUAUACAUACUCUAUGUAUUAUAAAUUUGAAUAUGAGUUGUGUGAGACCUUGAAUUAUAAGUUUGAACUUACGAAGGAGGAUGUCAACUAUCAUGUAUAUAAGAUUUGUCGAAGGAAUGUCGACAAGUGUAAUGUAAGAGAAAUUCAUUAUGACAAAUCUUGGGAUUAUGCAACAUGCACUUGCAAAAAGUUUGAGAGUUUAGGAAUCCUAUGUCGGCAUGUACUAGCUUACUUGAAUAAGUAUCAUGUUCUUGACAAGUUGCCUACAAAAUAUAUUUUAAAGAGGUGGACAAAAACAGCAAAAUCAAGUUGUGUAAUUGAUGAUAAUGGUGUGGCGAUAAAAAAGAUGACAAGUCAUACUUGUUCUUGCGGAGUCAAUUGAUUCAACGUUCUUUAGAUUUGAUUGAUAGUGCUCUCACAAAUGAAGAAGCCACAAAUGUAUUAAAAGAAUGUUUAGAUAAUGGAUAUGAAAAGAUCAAGCAAAUUAUUGGGAAGAAUGAUUCCGAAAGAAACAAGGAAAUGAAGUGUGGUGGAAUUAGUGUAUCCAAGACAGUUAACAUGACUUCUACUUAUGAACAUAGUUCUACUUAGUUCCUGGUUCUUACUGAUUGCAUUACUGUUGUUUUGGAUUGGUGUACUUAGCGUUUAGCUUUAAGUUCCUGUGGUAUCUUUUUCCUUAAAAAGGAUUAUCUAGGCACAGAUUGCAUUACUGUUGUUUAGGAUUGGGGGGUUUAACUUCAUGAUGGAUUUUAAUAGUACCAUAUAUAAAUAUUGGUUGCUCUUGCUUCCUGAUGGACUCCUUGUAAACGUUUAAAGUAAGAACAACCACUUGACAACCAGUUGUAUCUUUCUUGCAUAUUUCUUUGCCGUAUAUUUUUUGAGUCAUUCCCACUUUCAAUUAUUUUGAUCCUGUUGCCAAGUGGUGGAUUGAAAUUUUCUCUGUCCUUUCCUCAUUAUUUGUAAUGUUUUAGACUUUCUGUGUUUAGAUUUGAAUUUUUUGGUUUAUGAAGGGCUUAUUUUUUGUACCUUUUGGCUUUUGCUUUCAGAUAGCAUAAUAUUAUUCAAAUGGAGCAAGUUUGUAUGUGAUGUGCCUUUCACCACUCUAAGCUCUUACUUCUACACUGAUAAAAGCUUUUCUUUUUUAUAUGGAAAUUUCCACCCUGGAGUAUAUAUAUGACAUUAUCAUCACUAGAGCUUAUAUAUUAAAUUCAAGUAAUGAAACAAUUGUAUGAUAAUGAUAGAUAUAUAUCCAACUCUAGCUAUAGUUCUGUAAUUAGCUGUAGUUCUAUUUUUCACUUUAUGAUUCUCUUUGUAAGUGCAGUUUUAUUGUUAAAAAUGUGAUUCUGAUAGGAUCAUUGGUGUUACUCUAAAAUUAAUGAGCGGAUUGUGAUUACGUAGCUUUUCAUUUGUACAAGAACUUCAAUACAUUAAGCUUGUUAACCAAUGUUUAUGUGCUUGAUUAGGCUACUGCUUAUUGCAGAAAGGAACAUUAUUAAACCAUAUUUCACUUAUUUUCAAUGUAUUUAAAUGAACAG
rnacentral:lncRNA from 1 species